rnacentral:rRNA from 1 species
UACGUAGGGGGCAAGCGUUGUCCGGAUUUAUUGGGCGUAAAGAGCGUGUAGGCGGCCUGAAAGGUCAGCUGUGAAAACUCGAGGCUCAACCUCGAGACGUCGGUUGAAACCAUCUGGCUAGAGUCCGGAAGAGGAGAGUGGAAUUCCCGGUGUGAGCGGUGAAAGUGACGCAGAUAUCGGGAAGAACACCCGUGGCGAAGGCGGCUCUCUGGGACGGUACUGGACGCUGAGACGCGAAAGCGUGGGAGCGAACGAGG